rnacentral:rRNA from 1 species
AACGAACGCUGGCGGCAGGCUUAACACAUGCAAGUCGAACGCACUCUUCGGAGUGAGUGGCAGACGGGUGAGUAACACGUGGGAAUCUACCUGAUGGUACGGAAUAACACAGGGAAACUUGUGCUAAUACCGUAUGUGCCCCUAGGGGGAAAGAUUUAUCGCCAUCAGAUGAGCCCGCGUCGGAUUAGCUAGUUGGUGGGGUAAUGGCCUACCAAGGCGACGAUCCGUAGCUGGUCUGAGAGGAUGAUCAGCCACACUGGGACUGAGACACGGCCCAGACUCCUACGGGAGGCAGCAGUGGGGAAUAUUGGACAAUGGGCGCAAGCCUGAUCCAGCCAUGCCGCGUGAGUGAUGAAGGCCUUAGGGUUGUAAAGCUCUUUCAGCUGGGAAGAUAAUGACGGUACCAGCAGAAGAAGCCCCGGCUAACUUCGUGCCAGCCGCCGCGGUAACAC